rnacentral:rRNA from 1 species
CUGUUUGAUCCUGGCUCAGGAUGAACGCUAGCGGCAGGCUUAACACAUGCAAGUCGAGGGGUAACGGGGAAGCUUGCUUCCGCCGACGACCGGCGCACGGGUGCGUAACGCGUAUACAAUCUACCUUAUACUGGGGUAUAGCCUUUAGAAAUGAAGAUUAACCCCCCAUAGUCUCUUAGAGUGGCAUCACUUCUAGAGUAAAGGUUACGGUAUAAGAUGAGUAUGCGUUCUAUUAGUUUGUUGGUGUGGUAACGGCACACCAAGACUACGAUAGAUAGGGGCCCUGAGAGGGGGAUCCCCCACACUGGUACUGAGACACGGACCAGACUCCUACGGGAGGCAGCAGUGAGGAAUAUUGGACAAUGGAGGCAACUCUGAUCCAGCCAUGCCGCGUGCAGGAAGACUGCCCUAUGGGUUGUAAACUGCUUUUAUACAGGAAGAAACACCUCUACGUGUAGAGGCUUGACGGUACUGUAAGAAUAAGGAUCGGCUAACUCCGUGCCAGCAGCCGCGGUAAUACGGAGGAUCCAAGCGUUAUCCGGAAUCAUUGGGUUUAAAGGGUCCGUAGGUGGAUAAUUAAGUCAGAGGUGAAAUCUUGCAGCUCAACUGUAAAAUUGCCUUUGAAACUGGUUAUCUUGAGUUAUUAUGAAGUAGUUAGAAUAUGUAGUGUAGCGGUGAAAUGCAUAGAUAUUACAUAGAAUACCAAUUGCGAAGGCAGAUUACUAAUAAUCAACUGACACUGAUGGACGAAAGCGUGGGUAGCGAACAGGAUUAGAUACCCUGGUAGUCCACGCCGUAAACGAUGGUUACUAGCUGUUUGGACUUCGGUCUGAGUGGCUAAGCGAAAGUGAUAAGUAACCCACCUGGGGAGUACGUUCGCAAGAAUGAAACUCAAAGGAAUUGACGGGGGCCCGCACAAGCGGUGGAGCAUGUGGUUUAAUUCGAUGAUACGCGAGGAACCUUACCAGGGCUUAAAUGUAAGUUGCAUUAGUUAGAGAUAGCUAUUUCUUCGGACCACUUACAAGGUGCUGCAUGGUUGUCGUCAGCUCGUGCCGUGAGGUGUCAGGUUAAGUCCUAUAACGAGCGCAACCCCUGUUGUUAGUUGCCAGCGAGUCAUGUCGGGAACUCUAGCAAGACUGCCAGUGCAAACUGUGAGGAAGGUGGGGAUGACGUCAAAUCAUCACGGCCCUUACGUCCUGGGCUACACACGUGCUACAAUGGUAGGUACAGAGAGCAGCCACUGCGCGAGCAGGAGCGAAUCUAUAAAACCUAUCACAGUUCGGAUCGGAGUCUGCAACUCGACUCCGUGAAGCUGGAAUCGCUAGUAAUCGGAUAUCAGCCAUGAUCCGGUGAAUACGUUCCCGGGCCUUGUACACACCGCCCGUCAAGCCAUGGAAGCUGGGGGUGCCUGAAGUCGGUGACCGCAAGGAGCUGCCUAGGGUAAAACUGGUAACUAGGGCUAAGUCGUAACAAGGUAGCCGUACCGGAAGGUGCGGCU